rnacentral:rRNA from 1 species
UACAGAGGUGGCAAGCGUUGUUCGGAAUUACUGGGCGUAAAGGGCGCGUAGGCGGUCUUUUGAGUCUUGUGUGAAAUCCCUCGGCUCAACUGAGGAACUGCACGGGAUACUGGAAGACUUGAGUUCGGGAGAGGGAAGCGGAAUUCCGGGUGUAGCGGUGAAAUGCGCAGAUAUCAGGAGGAACACCGAUGGCGAAGGCAGGUCUCUGGGCAGUAACUGACGCUGAGGAGCGAAAGCAUGGGGAGCGAACAGG